AGAGUUUGAUCCUGGCUCAGGAUGAACGCUGGCGGCGUGCUUAACACAUGCAAGUCGAGCGAAGCACCUUGACGGAUUUCUUCGGCUUGAAGCCUUGGUGACUGAGCGGCGGACGGGUGAGUAACGCGUGGGUAACCUGCCUCAUACAGGGGGAUAACAGUUGGAAACGGCUGCUAAUACCGCAUAAGCGCACAGUACCGCAUGGUACGGUGUGAAAAACUCCGGUGGUAUGAGAUGGACCCGCGUCUGAUUAGGUAGUUGGUGGGGUAAUGGCCUACCAAGCCGACGAUCAGUAGCCGACCUGAGAGGGUGACCGGCCACAUUGGGACUGAGACACGGCCCAAACUCCUACGGGAGGCAGCAGUGGGGAAUAUUGCACAAUGGGGGAAACCCUGAUGCAGCGACGCCGCGUGAGCGAUGAAGUAUUUCGGUAUGUAAAGCUCUAUCAGCAGGGAAGAAAAUGACGGUACCUGACCAAGAAGCCCCGGCUAACUACGUGCCAGCAGCCGCGGU
rnacentral:rRNA from 1 species